rnacentral:rRNA from 1 species
AUUGAACGCUGGCGGCAGGCCUAACACCUGCAAGUCGAACGAGUGGCGGACGGGUGAGUAAUGUCUGGGAAACUGCCUGAUGGAGGGGGAUAACUACUGGAAACGGUAGCUAAUACCGCAUACCAUCGGAUGUGCCCAGAUGGGAUUAGCUAGUAGGUGGGGGAACGGCUCACCUAGGCGACGAUCCCUAGCUGGUCUGAGAGGAUGACCAGCCAGAGUGGAACUGAGAGACGGUCGAGACUCCUACGGGAGGCAGAGGUGGGGAAUAUGGCACAAGGGGCGCAAGCCUGAUGCAGCCAUGGCGUGUGUAUGAAGAAGGCCUUAGGGUUGUAAAGGACGUUCAGCGGGGAGGCGUUACCCGCAGAAGAAGCACCGGCUAACGCCGUGCCAGCCGCCGCGGUAAUAC